CCUACGGGAGGCAGCAGUGGGGAAUAUUGCACAAUGGGGGAAACCCUGAUGCAGCGACGCCGCGUGAGCGAUGAAGUAUCUCGGUAUGUUAAGCUCCUUUUGUAGGGAAGUAAAUGACGGUACGUGACUAAGAAGCUCCGUCUAACUACGUGCCAGCAGCCGUGGUAAUACGGAGGGGGCCAGCGUGAUCCGGAUUUACUGGGUGUAAGGGGAGCGUAGACGGCUGUGCAAGCCAGAUGUGAAAGCCCGGGGCUCAACCCCGGGACUGCAUUUGGAACUGGGUGGCUGGAGUGUCGGCGAGGUAGGCGGAAUUCCUGGUGUAGCGGUGAAAUGCGUAGAUAUCAGGAAGAACACCAGUGGCGAAGGCAGCUUGCUGGACGAUGACUGACGUUGAGGCUCGAAAGCGUGGGGAGCAAACAGGAUUAGAUACCCGUGUAGUC
rnacentral:rRNA from 1 species